UGCUGGCAACUCUGGCUGGAGGGCUUGGCCCAGCUUCUGGCCCCACACAUGGCCUCUGUGCCAUCCUUGGCGGUCAAGUAGAGGCCAUGUGUGAGGUAGUACUCCCGCCGCAGGAAGGCAUAGAAGUAAUCAGAGAUGAGCAGGAUCUGGGGGGAGAGAGAGGGUGUGAGGCGCUGCUGGGUACCUCCCCCUAAACCCAGGAUCCCUGAACUGCUGGCAGGUGUUGUUGGAAGACAGGAACGCCCCUGCCUGGCUCUGGAUCACAAUCACUGGAGAGGCCCUCCUCAGGGCCCCCACCUCAGGGCCCAUAAUUGACCCUGCAAGGUCUGGCCUCUCAGAAGCUGCCUGGACUCCCCCUGCCCCCACCCAUGGUCUACACCUCCAUCCCAGGCUCUGGCCUCGAAUGCCAGCCUGGUGCCUGUGCAACCAGAGGCCUCUGCCCCAUCCUCCCACAGCCACUUCCAUCCCAGCCAGGUCCACAUCAAACUCCUCACCUUCCCUCUGUCAAAUACACUUCUCCCACUCAGCAUCCAUGCCCCCAUCUUCCAGCCAGGUGCCCAGGCCACAAAAUUGCCCUGACACUUCUCUCAUACAUCGAGCCACCAUGACCUGUCAAUUCCCCCUAAACUCAAAUCCACCCUUUGGAUCCAUCCCCACAGUCACUACUCUGGACAGAGCCACUGUCAUCUCAUCUCCUAAACAACAGCAAAGCUUGGUCCUUGGGCUCCCUGCUCUCAAACCCGUGCCCACCCCAUUCUCCCUGGCAGCCAGAGGGAGCUUUUCAAAACCCACAUCUGAUGGUGUUACUUCCAGCCUUCAAAUCCUCCAAAGGCUUCCCAAGCCUUAGGGCAAAGCUCGAACUCCCUCGUGCUCUGAGACCUUGCUAGGGUCCCUGUCCGCCCUCUCCCGGCUCCACCUCACCCCACGGCAGGAUCUUUACUGUUUCUUCUGCCUGGAAUGUUCUCUCCCCGUUCAUCUAGUUGACAGCUGCUUACUCUUCAGGGCUCAGGAAGGAUCACUUGCCCCCCAGAUUAGUUCUUGGCCCCACUAAUCUCUACUCGAUAACAGACUCAUCGAAAGUGUAAUUUUCCAUUCAGCUGACAGCCUGACUGUGCCUCCUCCCCUGGCCCGGGGCCUCCAUCAGGGCAGGGUCUUCGAAUGGUUCUGUCACUAUGGUAUUUCUGUGCCCAGCUCAGUCUGUCUGUCCCAUUCUGGGCCACACACAGAAGAAUCAAAGGGAGCCUAGAAGCUCAGCCCACUGUCUCUUCAAGGAGGCCCAGAAAGGAAUAGGGAUUUGCCAAGGGCCCUAUACACCAGACCCGGAGUCUGCAAUCCCAGUCAGCCCAAGCUUCCCAAGACCACUGGUCCCUGGAGCAGGUUGGGCAGGGCCCAGCCUCAGAGAAGGAUGAGGGGACAGGGGCUCACACUACAGACACCGCAGCUCUCAGGCACCUGGAGGCCUCAGAGGAUUGGCACCAACCACCUGGCACAGAUGGGGAGACUGAGGCACAGAGCACUUGGCUAUGGUCUUGGGGCAAGACAGGUUGAGCUAAGCCUGGGAUCUAGACCUCCAGACCCUGUCCUGGGCAGCUUCUCACUGACCUGAAGGUAACACAACAGCAGCUAAGGAGAGAUCAGAGGCGCCUGGAGGAGUUCAGGAAGGUGUCCUGUCACCAGCAGCUCUGAUGGCCUCAGGACAAGUACCUGCCAUUCUAUCACCACAGAAGCCCAUCUGGAAGGUUGAACAAUCCUCAUCUUAAACAGAUGGGGAAACUGAGACUCAAAGGGUUCAAUGGUUGGCCUAAGGCUACACCUGGAGCACUGGACUAAUGGCCAUGGACCCAGAAAGGUGGUCUGCCUGGGGCCCAGAUCACUGAUGAGCACGAGAUUGGUCACAGCGUCAGCAAAGCAGACAGAGCUCAGGCAGCCCCCGAGGCCCUGCCCCCAGCUGCCCAGCUGGCAGCUCCAGGCUGGCCCACUGGGGGGCAGUGAUCACAGCAAAGGCUGACCUCAUACCCUGCAGCCCUUUCUCACCCAGGCCCGAGAUGCCAUCUGGGCAGGAGGAGCCCAAAGCAGGGGCUGAGCUCAGAGGCUGAUCCCUGAACCAGGUCAGCUGAGGGGCAGGUGCAGUCACAAUCCACAACAAUCAAAACGAAGCAACUCCAUGUCACACAAUAAUCAUCUGGACAAGAAGCAGGAAGAAAAAGAUUAGGUUAUUAGGUUGGACCAUAUGAAAUUGCCAGUUUUGCAGAUAAAAAAAUGGUUGAAUACUGGCAAUUUCAUAUGAUCCAACCUAAUAUAAAACGGAAAAACGUACACAUGGAAAAGUAAGCAUGUUAUUUAGAAGUACCAACAGAAAUAACAGUAAGACUUUAGGUAGCUAUUCUUUUCCCCUAUAAGCCUUAACUUUGCAAACUACAUACAUGUAUUCCAUUGAUAAAAAUAAAACUUCGGCGAGGUGCGGUGGCUCAUGCCUGUAAUCCCAGCACUUUGGGAGGCCGAAGCAGGCGGAUCACCUGAGGUUGGGAGUUCGAGACCAGCCUGACCAACAUGGAGAAACCCCGUCUCUACUAAAAAUACAAAAUUAGCCGGGCAUGGUGGCGCAUGCCUGUAAUCCCAGCUACUUGGGAGGCUGAAGGCAGGAGAAUGGUUUGAACCUGGGAGGCGGAGAUGCGCCAUUGCACUCCAGCCUAGGCAACAAGAGCGAAACUGCGUCUCAAAAAGUAAUAAUAAAAAAUAAAGCUUCAAUUAAAACAAAUCAGCCAAUAAAUCAAUGAAUCAAUACAUCAAUGGGGGGGGGGAGAUAAAUCUUCCUUCCAGAAGAAUUCCAAACAAUGUAGGUAGUUAUAUCCCCCUCCCAUAGAAGGAGCUUAAUUCUUGUCCACUCUGCAUCUCCUAAGCCUAGGGGGGUCUAGACUUGGUUACUCACUUCCUCCUGAGGAGCAGGGAAAGGGAAAAGAGUAACUUUACAGUGGAGAGACCUGGCCAACACUAUCUUAACCACGUGGUGGAGGUUAACAUCAGCUUGAAAUCACGUGGCUAGCAUGUAACCCCAAUAGAUGUGAUGAGAAGGGCACUUUGCCUGGGGUAUUCUUUCUAAAAACCCACAACCCCAGGAUAGUCCUAAGAAAAGCAUCAGACAAACCUAAACUGGGGGACAAACCUAAAUUGGGUGACAUUCUACAAGAUACCUGGCCAGCGCUCCUCAACUGUCAAGGUCAUGAGAAGUCAGAAAAGACUAAGAAGAAAAGCAGAAGACACUGGGGAGAUGUGACCUUACAUGUAAUGUGGACCUCUCGAUGGGGUCCUGGUAGAGAAAGAGGCUGUGACUGGAACAACAGGAAAUCCAAAUCCAUUCUAGUGUUUCAGACUAAUAGUAACGUAUCAGGGUGAGUGUCUUAGUUUUGACAAACACAUCACGGUAAAAUAUAAGAUGUUAACAACUUAGGCAACUAGGUGGGGGCUUACAGGAACUCUGUUCUAUCUCUGCAACUUUUCUAUAAAUCUAAAGUGAUUCUAAAAUAAAAAGUUUAUUUAAAAAAUAAAUGAACUAGCUGGGAAUGGUGGCUUGUGCCUGUAAUUCCAGCUACUCGGGAAGCCGAGGCAAGGGGAUCCCUUAAGCCCAGGAGGUCGACCUGGGCAACAGAGCAAAACUCC
rnacentral:lncRNA from 10 species